rnacentral:misc_RNA from 1 species
UAGUAACUAUACGUUAGUCAAUUGACAGCAUCUACAGUGAUUUAUGAUGAAAGAAAAAGUCAGUUAGUAACUAUACGUUAGUCAAUUGACAGCAUCUACAGUGAUUUAUGAUGAAAGAAAAAGAUAAACUUUUUAAUGAUCGGUCAAGAAUGGUCAAGCGAGGAUGAAGAAGUUGAAGAGAUUUUGGAUGAAAUACCUGCUUCGAACGAAUUCCUUGAUAAUGUUUCUAACCUAAUUGAUAGCCUGAGUCACAUGUCUGAUGUGGAGGUGUCCAAACUUAUAUCGUUUUUUGGAUUCAAAGGCAACUUUGCAGUCAAUAUUCAUCCGAAACGAGUGCUAGAGAAAACUGGUCUAGAUUUUAAAAAGCAUAUUGACUUGGGAUUGUUGAAAACUAGCAUAAUUCUAGACAAGAGUGCUAAAACUAUUGAUGGGAAAAGAGGGACCCAGAGAUUAUUGAGGUUUCCUCUUAGGGUUUCUGGAGAACAUUUAGUUAAGACCUUGACACUAUUGCAACAGAAAGGGACACCAAUCCCAAAUGGUCUGAUUUCCGUUCCCACACAGAUAUCUGAAUCCCUAAAUCUCCAAAUUGAUGAUUCCUUGGUUCCUUUAGACAUUUCCCACCACAGUUUAGGCAUGGUAGGUGACCUUGGGAUACCUAUUGAAACUGCUGCACAGGCGGUAGAUAUGUUAAGUGAUGUGCUCACAUAUCCUGGAUUAGAUGAUACUUAUGAGCCUGUUACUUCAAGAAUAAAUGCAAGCCAAGAUUCUAUUGUUACCUGGGUCGGCUUUCUGUUUAGAUUGUGGCAAGCAAAUAGCAGAGUUAGGCAUACCUAUUGAUCUCCGAGGAUUCUUAAUGUGUGCAGGAUGCAAUGUUAAUUCUUACACUCAAGAAGACCGGGUCAAGAAGACUAAACUGCUUGAUUUUAUUGCAACUAAAAUCACCAUUUUAUCUAAAUCAAUUCCUGAAGUUACAGGAACAGAUAGAAUACUGCGUUCACGUGCAAUGCAAAAUGUAUCUAAUUUUGAGUUCGAUGAUCAAGACAAUACUAAAUGUAACAAGGACACCACAGGCCUUGUUACAAUGAAUACAUAUUCCAGAGGACAUUUUUUUUGUGACCUCUGGUGGAUUUAUUCGCUAUUGGUCACCAUUAUACCGUUCUGAAUCAACCUCUCAAGUUGCGAUACCUACGAUCAAAUAUCUAGAACUGUAUAUGCGUGAAUAUGAGAACAUUGAUAAUACAUACUUGUUUUAUGACAACAUGUGUAACUUGGAAAGAUUGAAACUAUGGAAUUGUGAUAUGGACCAACUAACUCCAGAUGCCAAACUAGGGCUGGCAGUGUUUAAUUCUAUAUCCAAGGGAGUUGAUGCCCUUCACAUAAAGAACCAUGUCAGAGACAAAUGCAGAAAAGAUUAUCCUGUUAUAAUUGAUAAUUUGAGGAAGACUUUUCCUCACCCCAAUACUGAGUCUGCAGAGCAGACAUUUGUCUGGCUUGGAAAAUUAAAAAAAUUUUGAAUUCAAUGAGCAAAAGAAAACACCAUUUCUUCCUCCAUUGUCUUAUAAAGGAUUGACAUAGAUAUACUUAGUGGUGUUAUGCCAAUAACAUAAAGCCUAACCUCCCCCAAGUCAAUAGAGACAAACUAAUGAUCUCACCGUUGGAUUAAUCUAAUAUUAUUUGUAAAUAUGUCAAAAUAUUAACAAUUUUUUUAAAUGAUAUGACCGUUAGAUAUGUGUAUUAUAAUUUUUAGAUAACCUAUAAUUAGAUAAAUUAUGUGUGUAUACUACUAAUAAAUC